UCCAAAAACUAUUUGCUUUAUCAAUAAGAAAGUUAUUAGUUUUAUUUGUCUUUUAGAGAUUGUAACAACGUAUACUGUAUGUACGGUAGAGUAUGGUACAGUAUGCUAUUAGCUUAUUACAACAGACUAAGUAAACAGGUGAUUUGUUCCGGAACUAGGCUAGCAUCCCUUUCCUGAGCUGCUUCGAAUAUUUCUACAAAAAUAAUUUCUACAGCCAUUACAGCAUGUCGGAUGACUUGGAUCAGCAAGAGUCAAGAGUAGAUGAACAACAAAAUCGGACAGACUGGUAAUGACGAUGAAGAUGGAAGAAGGCCAAAGAGUAAUGGGUUGAAGGCUGAUCCAGUUUUAAAUAGUGUUACAUCAACCUCACCUUUAUUACUUGUUUUCUGAAGGCUGAUCAAGUAAAGAUAACAGUUUAACAGCCUCAAGCAACUAUAUUGUUAUUUUGACCAUGUUUGAUGAAUGCUAAUCCAGGUUUUAAUGGACAUAACAUGCUGGAUUAAAAAUGAGGACUUGUUUGGUGGAAGAAUUUACCAAGGAAAAUAAAGAAUUCUCAAGUCAUUGCAAAAGGUUCACCAAUAUAUCUUAGUGAUCCUUAGUGCUUGCAAUACAAGUGUCAAAGAUUGCAGGACAAGAAUGACUUUAAAAAACAAAGAAGACUUGUUUUAUGCACUUAAUAUUUAGUUUUGCUUUAUAUUUUAUGACUAUGACAGAGUUGUGUAAAAUUCAUGUAAUGUAUUGUUCUAAUAUAUCUGUUUUGGUAAUUACUCAUUUUGAAAAUGUUGUAUAGAUGUUUAUAAUCAUUUUCCUUCUUGAGUAUCAUUGACAACUAUUUAAAGUUUUAAGUACCGUUACUUUGUUUUGGAUUUUUAUUUUAUAAGAUUAAGAUGUUAUUCUUGAAUACUAGUACCUUGUAGGUAUGAACUGUGUUGUUUUUUACUUGAUAUGUGUAGUAUUAAUCUUUUACCCCCAAUUGCAUUUAAUUUUGAAAAAACAUAUAAUUUCAUCAUUUAUACCAUACCAAUAUAAAUGCCUAUCUAAAUAAAACUUAGAGAACCUUGGCAUAAAUAAAUACAUAAUUUCUAAAAGACAUUAGAUUAUGAAGACUUAACAUGACAUCAUACGUACGAAGAAACUUUGGAAAGUGUCACACCAGUGAUUCUU